UGGGGAAUCUUCCACAAUGGACGAAAGUCUGAUGGAGCAACGCCGCGUGAGUGAAGAAGGGUUUCGGCUCGUAAAGCUCUGUUGGUAGUGAAGAAAGAUAGAGGUAGUAACUGGCCUUUAUUUGACGGUAAUUACUUAGAAAGUCACGGCUAACUACGUGCCAGCAGCCGCGGUAAUACGUAGGUGGCAAGCGUUGUCCGGAUUUAUUGGGCGUAAAGCGAGUGCAGGCGGUUCAAUAAGUCUGAUGUGAAAGCCUUCGGCUCAACCGGAGAAUUGCAUCAGAAACUGUUGAACUUGAGUGCAGAAGAGGAGAGUGGAACUCCAUGUGUAGCGGUGGAAUGCGUAGAUAUAUGGAAGAACACCAGUGGCGAAGGCGGCUCUCUGGUCUGCAACUGACGCUGAGGCUCGAAAGCAUGGGUAGCGAACAGG
rnacentral:rRNA from 1 species